CCGCCAUGUUACGGCGGGCGGGGCCGUGAGGGCGCGGCGGACUCGUCGGCGGGUCCGUGAGCGGCACGUCCCGCCCCGGGUGUGCAGAGAGGAGCAGGAAGGUUUCCUGUCCCUGGUGGACCCAUCCAGAGCCCAGUGGUGGAGCCUCCAAGGAGAGAUCUCACUGACCAGCCCAGGUGAUCUUUUUCCUUCCACGGCAUAAACACAAACAUCAGGAAACAUGUUUCCACUGUGAGAGUGACAAACACUGGCACAGGCUGCCCAAGGAGGUUGUGGAGUCACCAUCCUUGGAGACACUCUCAAAAGCUGGGUGUGGUUGUGGGCAACCAGUGCUUGGUGGCCCUGCCCGUGACCUCUGGAAGGCCCUGCCUCCCUCAACAGUUCUGUGGUUCUGCGAAAUAAUCAGGGAUCAAACCCACCACCUCCAAAUGUACAGCUUAGCCUUCCUUAUGGGCAAGGACAGGAGUCCUCAGUUUGUCUCUAACUUCAGAAAACCUCCUGUGUUUUAUAUUGAACUUACAUGGUUCUUUCUAUAGUUGCUGCCUAACCUCUAUCUUGCUGGUUAGGAACUCUCCUGUGACUGGAAAGAUUGCGCAGCGAUCACGUCCUGAGGAUGAGAAAGUUAAAUCUGGGGUUUCAGUGUCUUUGCUGCAGACAUGGAGCUGCUGCAGAACAAAUGGCACUGCCCAGUGCUGCACUUCUGAGAGUUACCACUUCCACUCCUUUUUUUGUGGAGCUGAUCGGCAGGUGAAGCUGCUCCCAGAUCCAGUGCUUAAAGGUGAAUGCUAGUGUCUAUUCCUGGGACAUGGUCAGGCAUAUAAAUCCUGAGCUGUUCAAAGCUCUGGCAGGACUGAGGCAUUUCUGAGGAGCUGCACAAGGAGAAGUUCACAUGCCCCAAGACCAAGCAUGCUGCUGGUACAGUCAGGUGCUCCCAAGGUUAGCACAGCAGAGGGGAGUUGCAACUUUGAUUUUUGAUGCCUAAAUUGUAUUAAAACUUCAAUUUUGAUACCCAAAUCCUCAUUUAGAUCUAUCCCAAAGUGGUAAUUCCACCGGGAAGGUCCCUGGGAGGGCUUCGUGGCAGAUUUCUUGUGUUUGGCACUUGGUGCAGUGAACUGUGAUUUCAAACAUGAAGACAAGGAGAGGGAAGGUAGGUUAAUCCACACCCAUUCUGAGAAGGUUUAAAGCUCUUGUUGGCCAAAAGGGGAGCUUAAAAGGUAUUCAGGAGUCAUCCUGUUUCCCUGCUGACAAAUGCAAUGUAAUGUUUGUGUGAAAACAGCUCUGACACAUGGGCUUGGAAGCACAGCCUGAUUUGUAUCAGUGCAUUCCUGAAGGAAUAAACCUACUAACCACAACUCAGAAAAACAAGCAAGAUGCUACUGACAAAAAGUUAAGACAGAUUUUUCCAUUAGAAGCUGAAGUUUUAUUACAGGAUAACAGUACAUAAAGCACAUCUAAAAUCGAUGUGUUCAAUGCACUUAAUAAAGGUAAUGUAAUAUUAAAGGUACAGUUUCUAAGUACAAUAUAACAACAUUCAUAUUAGAAUGAAAAU